UACGUAGGUGGCAAGCGUUGUCCGGAAUCACUGGGCGUAAAGCGCGCGCAGGCGGCGAUCUACGUCUGGGGUGAAAGCCCGGAGCUCAACUCCGGGACUGCCUUGGAUACGGGAUCGCUUGAGGAUUGGAGAGGCAAGUGGAAUUCCCGGUGUAGCGGUGAAAUGCGCAGAUAAUCGAGAGGAACACCGGUGGCGAAGGCGGCCAACUGGACGAAUACUGACGCUGAGACUCGAAAGCGUGGGGAGCAAACAGG
rnacentral:rRNA from 1 species